rnacentral:rRNA from 1 species
GAUGAACGCUAGCGACAGGCCUAACACAUGCAAGUCGAGGGGCAGCACGAAGUAAGCUUGCUUACUUUGGUGGCGACCGGCGCACGGAUGCGUAACAGGUGUGCAAUCUGUCCAUAAUCGGGGAAUAGCCCAGCGAAAGUUGGAUUAAUGCUCCAUGUGAGCCGAGGAGGCAUCUCUUUGGUUUGAAACGCAAGGAUUAUGGGUGAGCACGCUUCUGAUUAGGUAGUUGGUGAGGUAACGGCUCACCAAGCCGACGAUCAGUAGGGGUUCUGAGAGGAAGGUCCCCCACAUUGGAACUGCGACACGGUCCAAACUCCUACGGGAGGCAGCAGUGAGGAAUAUUGUUCAAUGGACGGAAGUCUGAACCAGCCAAGUCGCGUGAAGGAUGAAGGUUCUAUGGAUUGUAAACUUCUUUUGUCUGAGGGUAAAACAGCGGACGUGUCCGUUCUUGCAAGUGUCAGACGAAUAAGCAUCGGCUAACUCCGUGCCAGCCGCCGCAGUAAUAC